AAGUCGUAACAAGGUUUCCGUAGGUGAACCUGCGGAAGGAUCAUUAACAAAUCAUUGAGCGAAAGCUCACUAACCUUUGUGAAUAGGCUUGCUGCGAAAGCACAAGUUAGAUGGGUUUGAGGGAUAUAGGCAGAGAAAAAGUGUGUGUGUGUAUGUGUGUGUGUGGGGAAGAGACGGGUAGGCGUGUGUAUAUUUGUUUACGCGCACACCUAGCCAGACACAGCCAACACAGACAGACACACACACACUGUUUCCGAGCCAACAUUAUUAUUGUCUAAUUAAUAUUGGAUUUCGAAAGAUUUCUAACAACUAAUACAACUUUUAACAAUGGAUCUCUUGGCUCUU
rnacentral:misc_RNA from 1 species